rnacentral:misc_RNA from 1 species
CAACAAUCUGCAAAUUUAAAAAGAAAAAUCGGCCCCCAGAUAUCGAAUUUCGAUCACACAGAGACUCAUGUAGACUAGAUGUUAAAUAUCGGUGCUGCUAAUAACGUUACCGAAAUCUCAUCCCUGCGACGAUAGAUCGAUGAAUUUUUGAAGGUUAGAUUUCGCUGGUAUUUGCGACCGACAGUUUCUCAUUGGCUCUUUCGGGUAGUCAUGGGCUGAAAUUGGUGUAUCAAUGGUCGAAUGUCAACAGCCAUAUUGUCGAAGGUCACAAACAAAGGUCACACAUUCAACACGAAAGUGGGAAAGACGCAUCAUUGCUCAUAGAACCUCAUCUGAAUGGUACCGGAAAAUCGCAUGAGCCCGAAUUGAACGCUGUGGUGCAGUUAGAGGGUUUUCAGGUGCACGCCCGCGCUUCGCUUUUUUCUUGCAGGGACAACGAUCUCUGAUCCGUCACCGUUACCACUAAGCGGACCACUCGACGGCAUCAGUU